rfam:Oryctolagus cuniculus unplaced genomic scaffold chrTn1089, whole genome shotgun sequence.
GUCUAUGGCCAUACCACCCUGAAUGCACCUGAUCUCAUCUGCUCUCGGGAGCUAAGCAGGGUUAGGCCUGGUUAGUACUUGGUUGGAAGAAAACAGGAUGCCAGAGGAU